UUCAAGCCCUAGCUCAACCACCCCCCCCCAAUCAUCUAACUCAAACCAAACAAACCAUUUGACACUACUAGUAAAGGAGAUUGAACAU
rnacentral:rRNA from 1 species